rnacentral:rRNA from 1 species
ACCCGCUGAACUUAAGCAUAUCAAUAAGCGGAGGAAAAGAAACCAACAGGGAUUGCCUCAGUAACGGCGAGUGAAGCGGCAACAGCUCAAAUUUGAAAUCUGGCGCAAGCCCGAGUUGUAAUUUGUAGAGGAUGCUUCUGGGCAGCGGCCGGUCUAAGUUCCUUGGAACAGGACGUCAUAGAGGGUGAGAAUCCCGUAUGCGACCGGUUGGCACCCUAUACGUAGCUCCUUCGACGAGUCGAGUUGUUUGGGAAUGCAGCUCUAAAUGGGAGGUAAAUUUCUUCUAAAGCUAAAUACCGGCCGGAGACCGAUAGCGCACAAGUAGAGUGAUCGAAAGAUGAAAAGCACUUUGGAAAGAGAGUUAAAAAGCACGUGAAAUUGUUGAAAGGGAAGCGCACGCAACCAGACUUGUUGGCGGUGUUCCGCCGGUCUUCUGACCGGUCUACUCGCCGUCGACAGGCCAGCAUCACUUGGGUGCGCCGGAUAAAGGCGCCGGGAAUGUAGCUCCCCUCGGGGAGUGUUAUAGCCCGGCGCACAAUACGGUGCCGCCCGAGUGAGGUCCGCGCUUCGGCUAGGAUGCUGGCGUAAUGGUUGUGUGCGGCCCGUCUUGAAACACGG